rnacentral:lncRNA from 1 species
CAGCCCCUCUCCUCCUAGUAAUGAGGUAACGUAACAAUGUGGUAAUGCAUUAAUUUAGUAAUGAGGUAAUGAAGUCGUGCAGUAAUGUAGUAACAAGACGAUGCAUUAAUUUAGUAAUGAGGUAAUGAAGUCGUGCAGUAAUGUAGUAAUAAGACGAUGCAUUAAUUUAGUAAUGAGGUAAUGAAGUCGUGCAGUAAUGUAGUAACAAGACGAUGCAUUAAUUUAGUAAUGAGGUAAUGAAGUCGUGCAGUAAUGUGUGGGUCAGAGGAUAAGCAGUGAUAAUCCUGUGUGAUUGUUGUAGUUCUACGGAGGACAGCUGUGCUGCGGUCAGUCGGACACUUCAAAGGCUUACGGCUGCAGAAACAUAACUACACAGAUACUGAGUGCAGUGUCCCAAAUGGCAGCCUAUUCCCUAUAUAGUGAACUACUUUUGACCAGGACCUUAUGGAGGGUGCCAUUUGGGACAAAGGAUGAGAUUCUCAAACAACCUCUCACCGCCGAUAUGACAGGGGAGCUGAGGUUCUGCUGGGUUCUGCUGUACCAGCUGAG